rnacentral:rRNA from 1 species
UUAAGCGACUAAGCGUACACGGUGGAUGCCCUGGCAGUCAGAGGCGAUGAAGGACGUGCUAAUCUGCGAUAAGCGCCGGUAAGGUGAUAUGAACCGUUAUAACCGGCGAUUUCCGAAUGGGGAAACCCAGUGUGACUCGUCACACUAUCAUUAACUGAAUCCAUAGGUUAAUGAGGCGAACCGGGGGAACUGAAACAUCUAAGUACCCCGAGGAAAAGAAAUCAACCGAGAUUCCCCCAGUAGCGGCGAGCGAACGGGGAGGAGCCCAGAGCCUGAAUCAGCAUGUGUGUUAGUGGAAGCGUCUGGAAAGGCGCGCGAUACAGGGUGACAGCCCCGUACACAAAAGCGCAUAUGCUGUGAGCUCGAUGAGUAGGGCGGGACACGUGGUAUCCUGUCUGAAUAUGGGGGGACCAUCCUCCAAGGCUAAAUACUCCUGACUGACCGAUAGUGAACCAGUACCGUGAGGGAAAGGCGAAAAGAACCCCGGCGAGGGGAGUGAAAAAGAACCUGAAACCGUGUACGUACAAGCAGUGGGAGCCCCACCACUAAGCCAGUGGUGAACUCCACAUACGCAUCCUUUGCUGAGGAUACGGUUAACGGAGCGAAAGCGACGUUCAACCUCAAAAGAAGCAGAGGGGGCUUAGUGGUGGGGUGACUGCGUACCUUUUGUAUAAUGGGUCAGCGACUUAUAUUCUGUAGCAAGGUUAACCGUAUAGGGGAGCCGGAGGGAAACCGAGUCUUAACCGGGCGUUAAGUUGCAGGGUAUAGACCCGAAACCCGGUGAUCUAGCCAUGGGCAGGUUGAAGGUUGGGUAACACUAACUGGAGGACCGAACCGACUAAUGUUGAAAAAUUAGCGGAUGACCUGUGGCUGGGGGUGAAAGGCCAAUCAAACCGGGAGAUAGCUGGUUCUCCCCGAAAGCUAUUUAGGUAGCGCCUCGUGAAUUCAUCUCCGGGGGUAGAGCACUGUUUCGGCUAGGGGGCCAUCCCGGCUUACCAACCCGAUGCAAACUGCGAAUACCGGAGAAUGUUAUCACGGGAGACACACGGCGGGUGCUAACGUCCGUCGUGAAGAGGGAAACAACCCAGACCGCCAGCUAAGGUCCCAAAGUCAUGGUUAAGUGGGAAACGAUGUGGGAAGGCCCAGACAGCCAGGAUGUUGGCUUAGAAGCAGCCAUCAUUUAAAGAAAGCGUAAUAGCUCACUGGUCGAGUCGGCCUGCGCGGAAGAUGUAACGGGGCUAAACCAUGCACCGAAGCUGCGGCAGCGACACUGUGUGUUGUUGGGUAGGGGAGCGUUCUGUAAGCCUGCGAAGGUGGCCUGUGAGGGUUGCUGGAGGUAUCAGAAGUGCGAAUGCUGACAUAAGUAACGAUAAAGCGGGUGAAAAGCCCGCUCGCCGGAAGACCAAGGGUUCCUGUCCAACGUUAAUCGGGGCAGGGUGAGUCGACCCCUAAGGCGAGGCCGAAAGGCGUAGUCGAUGGGAAACGGGUUAAUAUUCCCGUACUUGGUGUUACUGCGAAGGGGGGACGGAGAAGGCUAUGUUGGCCGGGCGACGGUUGUCCCGGUUUAAGCGUGUAGGUGUGUGUUCCAGGUAAAUCCGGUUCACUUUAACACUGAGGCGUGAUGACGAGGCACUACGGUGCUGAAGCAACAAAUGCCCUGCUUCCAGGAAAAGCCUCUAAGCAUCAGGUAACAUCAAAUCGUACCCCAAACCGACACAGGUGGUCAGGUAGAGAAUACCAAGGCGCUUGAGAGAACUCGGGUGAAGGAACUAGGCAAAAUGGUGCCGUAACUUCGGGAGAAGGCACGCUGACAUGUAGGUGAAGUGAUUUACUCAUGGAGCUGAAGUCAGUCGAAGAUACCAGCUGGCUGCAACUGUUUAUUAAAAACACAGCACUGUGCAAACACGAAAGUGGACGUAUACGGUGUGACGCCUGCCCGGUGCCGGAAGGUUAAUUGAUGGGGUCAGCGCAAGCGAAGCUCCUGAUCGAAGCCCCGGUAAACGGCGGCCGUAACUAUAACGGUCCUAAGGUAGCGAAAUUCCUUGUCGGGUAAGUUCCGACCUGCACGAAUGGCGUAAUGAUGGCCAGGCUGUCUCCACCCGAGACUCAGUGAAAUUGAACUCGCUGUGAAGAUGCAGUGUACCCGCGGCAAGACGGAAAGACCCCGUGAACCUUUACUAUAGCUUGACACUGAACAUUGAGCCUUGAUGUGUAGGAUAGGUGGGAGGCUUUGAAGUGUGGACGCCAGUCUGCAUGGAGCCGACCUUGAAAUACCACCCUUUAAUGUUUGAUGUUCUAACGUGGACCCGUGAUCCGGGUUGCGGACAGUGUCUGGUGGGUAGUUUGACUGGGGCGGUCUCCUCCUAAAGAGUAACGGAGGAGCACGAAGGUUGGCUAAUCCUGGUCGGACAUCAGGAGGUUAGUGCAAUGGCAUAAGCCAGCUUGACUGCGAGCGUGACGGCGCGAGCAGGUGCGAAAGCAGGUCAUAGUGAUCCGGUGGUUCUGAAUGGAAGGGCCAUCGCUCAACGGAUAAAAGGUACUCCGGGGAUAACAGGCUGAUACCGCCCAAGAGUUCAUAUCGACGGCGGUGUUUGGCACCUCGAUGUCGGCUCAUCACAUCCUGGGGCUGAAGUAGGUCCCAAGGGUAUGGCUGUUCGCCAUUUAAAGUGGUACGCGAGCUGGGUUUAGAACGUCGUGAGACAGUUCGGUCCCUAUCUGCCGUGGGCGCUGGAGAACUGAGGGGGGCUGCUCCUAGUACGAGAGGACCGGAGUGGACGCAUCACUGGUGUUCGGGUUGUCAUGCCAAUGGCACUGCCCGGUAGCUAAAUGCGGAAGAGAUAAGUGCUGAAAGCAUCUAAGCACGAAACUUGCCCCGAGAUGAGUUCUCCCUGAGACUUAGAGUCUCCUGAAGGAACGUUGAAGACGACGACGUUGAUAGGCCGGGUGUGUAAGCGCAGCGAUGCGUUGAGCUAACCGGUACUAAUGAACCGUGAGGCUUAACCUU